rnacentral:rRNA from 1 species
UACGUAGGGGGCUAGCGUUGUCCGGAUUUAUUGGGCGUAAAGAGCGUGUAGGCGGCCAUGUAGGUCCGGUGUGAAAACUCGAGGCUUAACCUCGAGAUGUCAUCGGAAACCAUUUGGCUAGAGUCCGGAAGAGGAGAGUGGAAUUCCUGGUGUAGCGGUGAAAUGCGCAGAUAUCAGGAAGAACACCCGUGGCGCAAGCGCCCACCUGGCCGUGACCUGACGCUGCGGCACGAAAGCGUGGGGAGCAAACAGG